rnacentral:rRNA from 1 species
UACGGGGGGGGCUAGCGUUGUUCGGAAUUACUGGGCGUAAAGCGCGCGUAGGCGGCUUUGUAAGUUAGAGGUGAAAGCCCGGAGCUCAACUCCGGAAUUGCCUUUAAGACUGCAUCGCUAGAAUCAUGGAGAGGUGAGUGGAAUUCCGAGUGUAGAGGUGAAAUUCGUAGAUAUUCGGAAGAACACCAGUGGCGAAGGCGACUCACUGGACAUGUAUUGACGCUGAGGUGCGAAAGCGUGGGGAGCAAACAGG